GGGUCUGUAGCUCAGCUGGUUAGAGCACCGUCUUGAUAAGGCGGGGGUCGUUGGUUCGAACAACCAGACCCACCA
rnacentral:tRNA from 1 species